rnacentral:rRNA from 1 species
UACGUAGGGUGCGAGCGUUGUCCGGAUUUAUUGGGCGUAAAGAGCGUGUAGGCGGUCUGGUAGGUCCGUUGUGAAAACUCGAGGCUCAACCUCGAGACGCCGAUGGAAACCAUCAGACUAGAGUCCGGAAGAGGAGAGUGGAAUUCCUGGUGUAGCGGUGAAAUGCGCAGAUAUCAGGAAGAACACCCGUGGCGAAGGCGGCUCUCUAGUACGGUACUGACGCUGAGACGCGAAAGCGUGGGGAGCGAACAGG